GGGAUCUUCAUUAAACAGAAUCCCUUUUCUGAGUUCCGCCUCUUUAGGCGUAACUUUGAAAUUCCAAAAACCACAACAACGCGACCAUACCACCUUGAUUUCUUGCGAAUUCCACUCCUUGAAUCGCUGAUUCUCAGAGAACUAGAAAGAGAACGGGAAGCUCUCAAGGCCUCAAUCAUCUUCUCCAGUUUGUUGAUGUUGAGCAAAAUAGACUAGCUAACAGUCAAUACAAGGGUCAAUGUUCAGCUUCAUCAAAUGCAAGCGGUUCGACUUCAGCAGGGCAGCUUGGAGGAACUACUACAGAAACAUCUGAAGUGGUAGAUAACUGGGAGAAGGCUUAUGAAUAAGAUAACGGCAAAUCUGUUUAUUUGUAGGACUUUGGAAAUGGGGGACUGAUAGGAAUGCCUUGCCCUUUGGUAUAUGGGUAAAUUUUUAUUUGAACCCCAAAAAAUUGUUGAGUUAGCUGCAUUACAUUUUAGCUUGGUUGCAGUCAAAUUUUGUUGUGUUCUAGUUUUCGCUUUGA